AAACUUAAAGCCCUCGUUCACCUUGCUAUUUUCUAACGUACCAAAAGGAAGCGGAAAAAAAAAAAAUCUACUUUCCUCGGCAGUGAUCACUUCUCCAAUGGUGAAGCCGAGCAAGAGCAGCAGCAACAAAAGCAACAACAAUUCAAUCAACAAGAAUAAAUUAUCGGUCUAUGAUUUCGACUGCGAAGACCAUCAGGUCGAGAAGGAUUCCCAAAAAAUUCUGUCAAAAUUCAAAACAAAAAUCCCUAACUUCAACCAAAACAAAUUCUCCUAUUCUCCUGUCGAUAAAUACUGCUUCCUCCGAUCCUGUACGUUCCCGGCCUAGACUAUUGCCUUUUUUGGGUCAUAUAUUUUAUGAUAUAUAUCAAUGUUUUCUGAAGAAUUUUUUCUUUUGGAAUUCGGAUGUGGAGACAUUAUUGUUUUGAUUCUUAUCUGAUUUUCUUUUCUUUCUUUCUUUCUUUUUUUUUUUUUUGGUGUUGACUUGUGUGGUAAUAUUUUGGUAUACAAUUUUGCUUGUGUCUAAUGUAGUUACUGGAAAGCUCGUAAAAGGCUGGGCUCAGUAAAGCCCAAACUCACACCGGGGGUUUUUUCAGUGCAAAUAAGUUUUUUAAUUCAUUUGCAUUUCUCUGAACUCCGGGGAGGGGAUUAUUACUGGCAAUUUUGAGGACAUCACGAUG
rnacentral:lncRNA from 1 species